UACGUAGGGUGCAAGCGUUGUCCGGAAUUAUUGGGCGUAAAGAGCUCGUAGGCGGUUUGUCGCGUCUGCUGUGAAAACCCGAGGCUCAACCUCGGGCCUGCAGUGGGUACGGGCAGACUAGAGUGCGGUAGGGGAGAUUGGAAUUCCUGGUGUAGCGGUGGAAUGCGCAGAUAUCAGGAGGAACACCGAUGCGAAGGCAGAUCUCUGGGCCGUAACUGACGCUGAGGAGCGAAAGCGUGGGGAGCGAACAGG
rnacentral:rRNA from 1 species